AGAGUUUGAUCCUGGCUCAGGAUGAUUGCUGGCGGCAUGCCUAAUACAUGCAAGUCGAACGAGGAUCCUUGUGGAUCCUAGUGGCGAACGGGUGAGUAACACGUAGGGAACCUGCCCGCGCACCGGGAAUACGCUCUGGAAACGGAGAACAAAUCCCGAUGUACAGGAAGGAGGCAUCUUCUUUCUGUGAAACAUCCUGUAAGGGAUGGGGCGCGGAUGGACCUGCGGUGCAUUAGUUGGUUGGCGAGGGUAAAGGCCCACCAAGACGAUGAUGCAUAGCCGGCCUGAGAGGGCGGACGGCCACAUUGGGACUGAGACACGGCCCAGACUCCUGCGGGAGGCAGCAGUAGGGAAUUUUCGUCAAUGGGCGCAAGCCUGAACGAGCGAUGCCGCGUGAGUGAAGAAGGCCUUCGGGUCGUAAAGCUCUGUUGCGGGGGAAAAAAGGCAUCUGCAGGAAAUGGUAGAUGACAGAUGGUGCCCCGCCAGAAAGUCACGGCUAACUACGUGCCAGCAGCCGCGGUAAUACGUAGGUGGCGAGCGUUAUCCGGAAUGAUUGGGCGUAAAGGGUGCGCAGGCGGUCCUGCAAGUCUGGAGUGAAA
rnacentral:rRNA from 1 species